CUGCCCCCACAUUGCGAGAAGUCCACUGNAACCUUAUCAUUUAGAGGAAGGAGAAANUCGUAACAAGGUUUCCGUAGGUGAACCUGCGGAAGGAUCAUUGUCAAAACCUGCAAAAGCAGAACGACCCGUGCACCCGUUAUACACACAAUGCCUGAGAGCAAUCUCUUUGGCCCGUAAACAAAACUUUGGGCGCGGUAUGCGCCAAGGAAAAAAAAAACGAACGAAACACUCCACUCGUGGACGUGCGAGUUCUUUAAGUCAUAACGACUCUCGGCAACGGAUAUCUCGGCUCUCGCAUCGAUGAAGAACGUAGCGAAAUGCGAUACGUGGUGUGAAUUGCAGAAUUCCGUGAACCAUCGAGUUUUUGAACGCAAGUUGCGCCCGAAGCCAUUCGGCCGAGGGCACGCCUGCCUGGGCGUCACGCACCGUUGCCCCCCGUCCCAAACUCGUUUCGGACGUGCGGGCGGAUAUUGGCUUCCCGUUGGCACCGUCCCGCGGUUGGCCUAAAUUCGAUUCCUUAGCUGCGGUCGCCGUGGCAUUUGGUGGUUUUCGAUUAACUCGUUGCCCAGCCACGUGCCCGUCUAGCGAUAACGGAUCACGAAACCCCGUUGCACAAUAGGCUUCCAACGCGACCCCAGGUCAGGCGGGGUUACCCGCUGAAUUUAAGCAUAU
rnacentral:rRNA from 1 species